rnacentral:rRNA from 1 species
UACCGGCUGCUCGAGUGAUGGCCACUAUUACUGGGUUUAAAGCGUCCGUAGCUUGACUGUUAGGUCUCUUGGGAAAUCUUCACGCUCAACGUGAAGGCGUCUAAGAGAUACCGGCAGUCUUGGAACUGGGAGGGGUAAACCGUACUUCGGGGGUAGGAGUGAAAUCUUGUAAUCCUCGAGGGACGACCUAUGGCGAAGGCAGUUUACCAGAACAGCUUCGACAGUGAGGGACGAAGGCUAGGGGAGCAAC